UACGUAGGGUGCGAGCGUUAAUCGGAAUUACUGGGCGUAAAGCGUGCGCAGGCGGUUUUGUAAGCCAGAUGUGAAAUCCCCGGGCUCAACCUGGGAACUGCAUUUGUGACUGCAUCGCUGGAGUGCGGCAGAGGGGGAUGGAAUUCCGCGUGUAGCAGUGAAAUGCGUAGAUAUGCGGAGGAACACCGAUGGCGAAGGCAAUCCCCUGGGCCUGCGCUGACGCUCAGGCACGAAAGCGUGGGGAGCAAAAGGG
rnacentral:rRNA from 1 species